rnacentral:lncRNA from 1 species
CUCAGGGAGUGGUGUAAAGUAGCACAGAGGCUGGGCAUCUAAAUCAGGCUGGUCAUCGUCUAGGAGGGCUUCCUGGAGGAGGCAACAUCCAAGGAAAGAAUAAGGAAGAGUCUGCACAUUCCCUUGGCCUUCCCCUGGUUUCAUCUGCGCCUCAGCGGAUGGUCUGGGAGCUUAGACCUGAGCUGACAGCAUCCCACUUCAAAGCCCACAGUGCUGACGGAUGGCGGGGAAGGUGCCAAGAGGCAUGCUGGGUAGCUGAGGAUGACAAUCUGGGAUCCCAAACAUCCGUGAGAGAUAAAAGUGGACAAGUCACAGCCAUGGGGGAAGGGUGACUAGUGUUCUUGAGUUGCCCUUUAACGGCUUCCAAGGGCUGGAGGGGCCUUGGAAAGGUUUUGAGGUCCAUGCUCCUGUCUUGAGGCUGACCUACCCAAGACAGUUCAGGCAGAACAUGACCCUUCUGCCGCUGUACAGCUCGCUGGGAGGAUGUGCUUUCGCCAGUCCACCAUAAAUUUCUUCUGCUGCAGGUUGAA